rnacentral:misc_RNA from 1 species
CAACCCUCAAGCUCAGCUUGGUAUUGGGUGUUACCUAGCAAUGGUGCAUCUUAAAAUCAGUAGCGGUGCCAUCUGGCUUCAAGCGUAGUAAUUUUCUCGCUUUGGAAGUUCAGGUGUGUACUUGCUAAUAAACCCCUAAUUUUUCAAA